rnacentral:lncRNA from 1 species
AUGGCUCAGGAGUUUGUGAACUGCAAGAUCCAGUCUGGGAAGGUGGUCGUGUGCAUCAAGGCCACCUGCCUCUACCGCAGAAAGACCCAAGAAAUCCUCAGUCUUUCAAACAAGGUCUUCAGGCAUUUGUGGACAUCACAGCCACUAACAACACCAACACGAUUCAAGAUUAUUUACAACCACAGUGAGAACAGUUCCUCCGGGCUUCAUAGGUAAAGACUGCAUAGGCAGAUGCAGUGAUCUAAUCUCCAUGCAACAGAAUUGGGAGCUGAUGACUCGGCUGAAGCAGAUUGGAGCUCUGCAGUUAUAA